GAUAUACAUAAGAACCUAAGAACUUCCUUACUCGGUCAGACCAAAGGUCCAUCUAGCCCAGUAUCCUGCCUUCCGACAGUGGCCAAUGCCAGGUACCCCAGACGGAAUGAACAGAACAGGUAAUCAUCAGGCGAUCCAGCUCCUGUCGCCCGUUCUGAGCUUCUGACAAAACCUGAAU